rnacentral:lncRNA from 1 species
GUGUGAGUGGCUCGCUUGUGUGAGAUUGGGGUUCAUGUUCUUGAUGCAUGCUGUUGGUACAUUGCUCAGCUCUACUGCUCAUCACUGAAUGUAUGUACGGCACCGUCUGGCGUCUGCCGAUCUCUUGACUGGAUGGUUAAGGACCUGUCACUAGGUUUCCAAUUGACUGUUAUGCUGAUCUGCAUCUAUCUCUUUGUUCGGAGUGUAGUAGCGGUCAUACUGUCCGGAGUGGGGGUGUCUGAGCUGUGAGGGGAUGAAGGGAGAGGGUGUGAUGAUAGACGCCUGAAUGGAGUGGAGUGGAAGGGAAUGGAUCAGCAGGGGGGGUGAGGAGAGUAUGCCGCAACAACCCCACAGUUGGGACCACCAUGCUCAGGGCGUGGACAAAGCAUUACGGCGUUACACGUCCUGAAGUGGAUUUCGCAUGGCUGGGACCGGCACGUCGCGAAUUUCACGGACUAAUAAGGAAGGACGCGCUUGGUCGGAAGGUUCGUCGUCCCGAGGUGGGGAAAUUAGUUGGAAAGAGCUGCUUUAUGGACAGUGGUUGUGCGGUCCUCGGGCCUCACCUUUUGUAACGUCUAUGAAUUCUGUCGCAGAUUUGCAUGAUAGGGCCACGAGAUAGACAGUAAAGGGCAACAGCUCACCUGCAGCUCACGAAAGUUUUAGCAUAAAGUCUCAUCCAUGUAAGAAGCUCAAUUUCACGAUGGUGCAACGUUCAAUGACGAUGUCUGUUUCUCUUACUGAUCUUCUGCCUCAAGCAUGUUUUCUGGUUGGAACAACGGUUGUUUAUGGGUUAGUUUUACGUUGCAAAAGACCAUCAUGUCAGACGUUGAAUUUUGCGUCUUUGCUUACCUGCCGAUUUGUUAGGCUGAAAACAUGAAUACUAAGAAUGGUCAUGGCUGGGCUGAUUUAACGGCGGAACUUGUCGAGCGUGUUCUUAGCUUCAUGGAUUCAAACGAGGUGGUGUGUACCGUCAAGGAAAUCAAUAAGGCCAUGGCGAGGCGGUUUCGUGAAAAGGUAGUUAUCCGGUUGUCGCAGCCCGUACCCCAUCACGCGUUCGCCAGGCACUGGAGCCGCCCGGAGGCAGUCCACGACUUUGCACGGAGUAAGCGCCGAAGGCUCCUUGUCCUGACGGCCCGCAGCGGCAGCCUUGCCAACCUGCAGGUCGCCGUCAAGGCGGCGGGCUGCAUGCUCUCAUCGGAUGUCUUCUACGCAGCAGCCGAGGCCGGCAAUCUUGAGAUGUACCAGUGGCUGCAGCAGCCAGAUCGCUAUUUCACUUACCCGUUCUCGGAGCUAGCGGCACAAGCAGCCGCGCGCAGUGGCCAUCUGGUAAUGGUUCGCUGGCUGCUGCAACAGGAGCGUAACCGUCGCUCCCGCGAGAGAGCUGGUUCCCGAUCCUUUGAAGUGGCCUGCUAUGCCGGCCAUCAGGCUGUGUGUGAAGGGCUCCUGGAGGACGAUGUUCAGAGGGAUCCCGGGAUGUGUCUUGCUGCCGCCGCCCGCGGUGGCCAUGUGGGCCUCACACACUGGCUCCUACAGCAGUUUGAACCAGCAGAAGGCCCAGAGUCACUGUUUACAAAGCGGUUGAAGGACGACCUCAUCGAGGGGGCUGCAUACGGCUUCGACCUGGCGGCAUUGCAGCAGGUGCACCAGAUCCUUCUGCAGUACGACGAUGGUGACGACGUCCUACUGACUGUCAACACCCUUCCAGAGGCCCUGUCGAGCCCCACCCCCGACUGGCGGGCCAAAGUGGAGUGGCUGCAGGCUCACGGCUGCCGGCUCAGCGGUGACGAGUACAUGGACUGGAGGGCCAUUGCCAGCCGUUCAGACGCUGUGGAUCGGGUAGAGCUGCUGCUGCCCGCCUUUGACCAAAAUGAGGUCGUACCAGAGAUCCUCCGGGAUGCUGCACAUGCUGCCAACCUGCCCUUGGUGCGCUACCUGCGAGCAUUGAGAGGGAUGGACUGGCUGCCAGGGCAUACGGGGGACGCAACAGAAGAAGCAGCCCGCGUCGGCAACAUGACGCUGCUGGUCGAGAUGGUGACGUUGGGCUGGCAGCUUGAUGACCAAGCUGUAAUGGCAGCAGCGGCGGGCGGUCAGCUGCACAUCCUUGAAUGGUUGGAGGGGCCGGAGGCGGCUCAGGCUGGUAGUCGAGAGGCCAUCCAGGCCGCCAUAGACUGGGGCUGGGAACAUGUGGGCGGCGCAAUAUCGUCUGACAGCGUGGAGGUCAUGGAAUGGCUGCUACGUCAGCGAGACUUGCCCUGGAGCGGGAGGGAGAUGUUCAAAGCAGCGGCGGCACGAGGCAGUCCAGCAUUGUUGGAGUGGCUUGCGGCCCGGGGCUUCUCCAUGGGUGUGAGUGGCUCGCUUGUGUGAGAUCGGGGUUCAUGUUCUUGGUGCAUGCUGUUGGUACACUGCUCAGCUCUACCGCUCAUCACGGAAUGUAUGUACGGCACCGUCUGGCGUCUGCCGAUCUCUUGACUGGAUGGUUAAGGACCUGUCACUAGGUUUCCAAUUGACUGUUAUGCUGAUCUGCAUCUACCAUCUCUUUGUUCGGAGUGUAGUAGCGGUCAUACAGCCCGGUACACCCCAUCAU